AAAGUCGUAACAAGGUAACCGUAGGUGAACCUGCGGUUGGAUCAUUAUUAAAUAUAAAACAACGGUGUGAUUCUGUCACACUGUCCCGUAAAAGGGUUUGCUGCCUUACAGUAAUCUUGAAAGAAUGCUGUAGGGUGUCUAGAAAAACAUACUGUGAACUGUAUUUGUCUCUGGCGGCUGGAUGGUCUCAAAAACCAUCUGUCAGCUUCUUCAAGCCUUGGAAACAUGCACUUGGGAGGCCGUGGACAAGCCGUCAAAAGCUUAAUGAGGACCUUCUCUGGGAGGGACUCAUGAAAAACUAUUUUCUAUUUAGUUGACUGACCUACAAUACAAAGAGUAAUGUAACAAAAACAACUUUUGGCAACGGAUCUCUUGGCUCUC
rnacentral:misc_RNA from 1 species